UACGUAGGGUGCAAGCGUUAAUCGGAAUUACUGGGCGUAAAGCGUGCGCAGGCGGUUUUGGAAGUCUGUCGUGAAAUCCCCGGGCUCAACCUGGGAAUUGCGAUGGAGACUGCAAGGCUAGAAUCUGGCAGAGGGGGGUAGAAUUCCACGUGUAGCAGUGAAAUGCGUAGAGAUGUGGAGGAACACCGAUGGCGAAGGCAGCCCCCUGGGUCAAGAUUGACGCUCAUGCACGAAAGCGUGGGGAGCAAACAGG
rnacentral:rRNA from 1 species